CCUACGGGAGGCAGCAGUGGGGAAUAUUGCACAAUGGGGGAAACCCUGAUGCAUCGACGCCGCGUGAGUGAAGAAGUAUUUCGGUAUGUAAAGCUCUAUCAGCAGGGAAGAAAAUGACGGUACCUGAUUAAGAAGCCCCGGCUAACUACGUGCCAGCAGCCGCGGUAAUACGUAGGGGGCAAGCGUUAUCCGGAUUUACUGGGUGUAAAGGGGGCGUAGACGGCAGCACAAGUCUGGAGUGAAAUGCCGGGGCUUAACCCCGGAACUGCUUUGGAAACUGUGCAGCUAGAGUGCAGGAGAGGUAAGUGGAAUGCCUAGUGUAGCGGUGAAAUGCGUAGAUAUUAGGAGGAACACCAGUGGCGAAGGCGGCUUACUGGACUGUAACUGACGUUGAGGCUCGAAAGCGUGGGGAGCAAACAGGAUUAGACACCCGGGUAGUC
rnacentral:rRNA from 1 species